AGCUCCCCAGACCCCAGGCCUAAGCUUGCGGGCCGCGGUGCAGACUAGCUGUGCGCCCGGGGACGGCCAAGACCCACACAGGUCGAGGAGGCUCCUGGCUGCGUCCUCAUCUUCGGGGAGCGCAUCUGGGACUGGACUCGCCUCUCGAGCCCCUCACGCCCAGAGAGAGAAACCCCCAAAGCCCAGUGGGGGCCGAUCUCUACGUUAAGGCGUAGACAAAGCCAGGCUUGGCCAGGCCUAGGGCUCAGGGCCGCCUGAAGAGUGCCCUGCUUUCGGGGUGGGGGGCGCGGGCGGCGGGCGAGGACCUGGCCCCCGGGAUACCCUCCACGCCGGGGCCGAAGGGGGAGGCAAAACUGAAAGUGCCGCGCCGGGGGGCGGGGGCGGCCGGCGAAGGCCCCAGAACUUGUCCUGCCCCCGGCCACCGCGGCCAAUCAGCGCGCCGCCCUAGCUCCUGACAACUAUUUAGCAACCCAGCCCGGCUAGAGUUUCCAAAAAAGUUAGAAUAACUUCCUCUCCCGGAGACCUCGGUUUUGCACAAGCCGGCCUUGAAAUCAGAGCCUUUCCAGCAACUCCAAGAGCGUGUGCUCGGCGACCGCGGGCUUGGCCUGCGGCGCGCGCUCGGCGCCCCGGCGCCCCCAGCCCCACGCGCGCCGGGCGGGCGCCAUGGAGGAGGGCUCCAGCUCGCCCGUGUCCCCCGUGGACAGCCUGGGCACCAGCGAGGAGGAGCUCGAGCGGCAGCCCAAGCGCUUCGGCCGGAAGCGGCGCUACAGCAAGAAGUCGAGCGAAGAUGGCAGCCCGACCCCGGGCAAGCGCGGCAAGAAGGGCAGCCCCAGUGCGCAGUCCUUCGAGGAGCUGCAGAGCCAGCGCAUCCUGGCCAACGUGCGCGAGCGCCAGCGCACCCAGUCGCUCAAUGAGGCCUUCGCGGCGCUGCGCAAGAUCAUCCCCACGCUGCCCUCUGACAAGCUGAGCAAGAUCCAGACGCUCAAGCUGGCCGCCAGGUACAUAGACUUCCUCUACCAGGUCCUGCAGAGCGACGAGAUGGACAAUAAGAUGACCAGCUGCAGCUACGUGGCCCACGAGCGCCUCAGCUACGCCUUCUCCGUGUGGCGCAUGGAGGGCGCGUGGUCCAUGUCCGCCUCCCACUAGCGCCGCGCCACCCACCUCCGGACCGGCGCGCCAGGGUAGGUGCUGCGCGCGCGACGGGCGCCCUCCGCUGCGGGGGGGCGGGCGGCAGGGGCGCAGGGGCACUGGGGCCUGCGCGUGUCUCCUCGGGGAGGCCCCGCAGGCCGCGGCGGCGUGGAUGCCGUGCGCUUUUCCUCUUAGCAAGGAAGGCGGGCGGGCGGGACGCUCACAGUCCCAGGGACACCCCUGAGUGCAGACUUCCACGCGGGGGUGUCAGUUGGGAACCGGCGGACCGGUGACUCUCCCGGCGGGGUCUGAAGAUACUUAGACAAAUGGUCGCAUUUUUCAUUCUCGGUGGUGUGUGGGUGUCCGUGGUUGGCGGUGGAAGGAGCGAGCAUCAGAAAAACCUCCUGAGGCCGGCUGGGGACUGGGAUAUGAGGACCAGCUGCCCUUUGCGCCCGCCGCAGCGCAGGCGACCCGCGAAGCUGCCCGGGCCGGGUGGUGCCGGGCGAAUGGCUUCGCUUUCUUCCUGGGCAAGGGUAGAGCGCGUUCGUCGGGCGGACACUCAGAUCUCCCCAGCUGCUCGCAUCUGGGGUCCCCGGCCGUCGGCGCCGUGGCCGGCCCAGUGGGCGUAGAGGUGCGGGCCUGCUGCUCCAGGGUUUGCCUGGGGAGGACAGGAGGAAACUGCCCUGCACUUCGGGGCCAGAGCAGCCACAGGGCCGGGUGUGCCCGAGAAGGGCCCUGGGCCGAGAGCGCAGAGCCUGGAGCGCUGAGGCAGGGGGGUCGGACGCAGCCGCGCGGAGCCCCAGGGCGCCCGCAGGCAGGUGGAGCUGACCUAAGAGCUGGGAGCCCUGAGUCCCAACCUUGACCCUGGAGUGCCCGGGAGGGGCCCCGCCCGUGCCGCGUCCUGGGUCCAGCCCCGCAGGGGUGGGCGAGGGGUCCAGGCUGGGAAACAGGUCUGGGGGACAGGGAGGCUGUGCGCGCCGGGCCCUGCGCGAGGAGAAGGCUCGGGGGACACAGCUGCCAGGAGCACUCGAAGUUCUGGUUUCCUCUGGAAGAGCGAUUAGGGCGUCCUGCACCGGGUCCUUUUCACCAGACACCUUCCAAGUCCCUUUAGACAAGCUCGAGCCACGGAGGCGCCGUCCUUAGGCUCUGUGAGCAGGCGAGUCCCUCUCUCAUCCGCCAUCCAGGGCCAUGGAGGGGCACAGGGUUCUUUUUGCUGGGGCCGCGUUAAAAAUCCUUCCCCCUUAGUAUGUUUUAGUUCCUCGCACAUCUUGAGAUGUUUUUAUAAAAGUCUCUACUUCACACAGAAGGAAUUUAGAUUAAUCAAGAGCACCCAGCCGCCUAUUCUCCCAAACAUAUCUAUUUCUUUUUUUUUUAUGUGGUUCUAUAAUAUCUGCGAAUGUUGUUGCUGAGGCCACGAAAAGCUGAUCUAGCACAGGUGGGUUUUAUUUCAUUUUUUUUAGCUUUUAUUUCGGUGUCACUAAAAAUUCUUUAGAUGAAAGAGCCUCCUGAGAUAAUAAUAAUUGUAUAGUUUUUUAAAAAUAAUUUUCAGCAGAAAAUAACUUGUGGGAAUCUUCUCCUGUCUUUGUCAAAGACAGAUGGAAAGUGUCUCAAUCACAUAUUUCUCUAGGAAAGUUUGGAUUGGCUGAGUACUAAACGCUACAGUGGGGUAAUACAUUAAUUCUGGUUUUUGCUGCCUAAAUAAUGAGCUUCCAUUAGUUACUUCCAUUUAUGCUUUACCUCAUUCUUGGUUUAUAGCACAUCUGAAAUAAGAACAAACAGAUGAGGAAUGUCAUCUUUUUAAAAACACACACAUUGAGCCAUGUUUAAAGAAAAUGUCACUGUAAUUAUCGUUAAGACUGCCCUCCAGAAAAUUACUGAAAACAAAUACCAGUAGAUAUGAUGCUGCUAGAAUUUAGUAGGAACAUUUAAAAUUCAUUUAAAAAUAAUCGCACUCCUCAAAACUUAGAGAAUCAGCCAUAGGUAACCAUUAAAGAUUAUAGAAAAAUAAAAUGCAAUACAUGUAAUAAAUAAAUAAAAACAGUGCUAAGAGCUUGUUUGGAAAAAAAGCCCUUAAAAAUAUAAUAGAUAAUUACACAGUUAGUGGGAGAGCUGAUGAUCUAUAAGGAGCCUAUUUAUUUUUAUUUUUUCAUACUGGACUUAACUGAGUAAUUCAAAUAAGCUAGUUUCAUUAAACAGAUACUCCAAAAGAAGAGAAAAGAAAUAUGGAAAAUUUUUAUCCAUGAAUGAUUCUGGACACACCUUGUUUUUAUUUAUCAGGCACAUUAGGCAGACAUCUCAUCAUUCUCUUUGUUUUUAACUCAUUAUUCCCUAUAAGAUCAAUACAAUUAUAAUUGGUUUGAUUUCCUGAAAAUGUUGCUAAACAGCAUGUUUUUAUUUAUAGCAUUUCUAAGAAGCAUUAAUUAUAUGCAUCAGCAAAGAAUCUCUAGACAUUUCAGUACAUUGUAAGUGAUUUUAAUGUUUGAUGUGGGAUGUUUUCACGUAUGUGAAGAAAACUGUGUUGAGACUAACAGCAACAGCAGCACGAAGCCUAAAUUGUCCUCUGAAAGGAAGAGAAAUGCAGGAGAUGGUGGAGUGCGGGUGCUGCUGCUAUCUGUCCUGCCUUUCUUCUUUGGCCUGGUAUUUAAAAGCACAAUUAGACAAUAAAUCAGGUGUCUUUGUCCAGUCAGUUGGAUUCAUCUAAUCGAAAAAUCUCAAAAGGAUUUUUUUAGUAUUCUCUUAAAUGCCUGAGCCUUCGGAGCAGGGUCCCGGCCACCUGGCUUGGAGGGUGGGGGAAGGUGACCAUUACUUAUCAGACAUUUGUCCUGUUCCCUGCCAUGUGGUUAAAGAAAACAUCAUCUCUAACUUCUGCAAAGUGUGCACAGAUUUUCAAUAGGUUACCUUACUCAACAAACUUUUUUUUUUUUCUGAGAACUUUUAGCUACUUUGAAGAAAUUGCAUGACCCCUUCACCAUCUAAUAUAUGUUAGCCUUUUCCUCCCUCCUGAAAAUUUACUUCUCAGAGGUGUUUUUUAACUGCUGUAUUCAGGAUGCUAGAAAAUCAGUUCUUCGUGGAGAAGAACAGAAAUGCAGAAUCCCAAUGGAGCUUUCGCUUGCCUAGAAGAAGUAGAAUGAAAGGCUGAGCUCCCUGGAAUAUAAGCAAUGUUUGGUUACAAAAUACCCAUCAAUAAGAUCUGAUGUAGGGAUUUGACCUGUUAAUGUGGGUCUUUCCCCUUAAAUAUCAGCAGUCUUUUCGGCCUUGCAUCAGGGAAGUCUUGCUACUCAUCUUGCUGGAGAGGGACUUCCUCAGACUUCAGUGGCUGUUUGAGGCCAUUUGAGAUACAAUACUUCACUGAGGUUUCCUGAAACUCAUAUUUUCAGACAGAUCUUGAGCUGAACCAUGUUCUUGUCAUCCUUGCUUCACUCUGUUUUGGGUAGACGGCACAGAUGCCAGAUUCCUUUUGCCUGGCAAAAAAAUUAAAAAAAAAACACCACACACAUAAAGUAAACUCUUUCUGAGCAGAGCACUAUAACUCAUAACUUUAGUUUAAAUCUGGGCUUUAAAAAAAAACAAAUAUUUUAAUAAGCCAAUUUUAAAGGCUGAACUUUUAUGACGGUUUUUAAGCUUAGUAUUUAUAUUAAUCUAUUCUCACUGGUGUCUUUAAAAACCGUGUGAAUGCAUGCUGGAAUGUCUGUUUAUGUUUGUGUCUUUUCCUGGGAAAGGAUAAAUGUGCUGCAAAAAGCAAACCAAAUACAGAACUCUCCGCUAGCAGAGGGUUCAGAAAUGAGGCAAUAAAAUUCAAAGAAGAGAUGAAUAAGUUACUGUAGCCAAGGACUGGAAAACCAUAAAGGAGAAACAGACUCUAAUAGAUACAGACAUGGAUGCUUUCAAAAGUAAAGGCAAGAUGAAACACUACAAAUAGAAACUGAUUAAAAAGAUAUUCCACAUGGUCACCUGAGUCUACACGUGAUAAAAUUGCAUAGCACUAAACACACACACACACACACGCACAUGCACAUGCACACACACACACAGGAUUGUAUGUAAAACUGGUGAAAUCUGAAUAAGGGAUAGGGACGAUAUUGACGCCAGUUUCCUGAUUAUGAUAAUUGCAAGAUGUCAUCACUGGGAGAAAGGAGUGAAGAUAUGAGAAUCUCUGUAUAAUAUUUCUUGCAACCUCAUGUGAAUCUAUAAUUAUCUCAAAAUUAAAAUAAAAAAGAUAUUCCACAAAAGUAUUAAAUCUAUAUAUUUAGAUAAGCAAAUUAUCUAAGAAAUUACUACUAAGCUUUAUCUCAGAGUAAUAAACUAAAAAUGUGACUUGAGCAAAACUCCACAUUUUUUUUCUGACGCCAUUUGAGGAAUCUCAAUAUAUUUCCAAUAUAUAACUAAUUAGAAGUGGUUCCCUGUAAGUCUUAAAUAAAGAGUAGUAUCCCAGAAAUAUGAAAGGUGAAAUACCAAUUAUAAUAGCAAUACAUUUAUUCCUAUACUAAUAACGAAAAUAUUUUACAAAAAAUUUUGGAAAAUAUCUACCUUAAACUGAUAUCCGUGUUAUAUUUGCUUUUUAAGAUACUAAUUUUAUAUUAACUUUCAUUAAGCAUGCACACACAAUUCUAAAGCCAAUGAUUUAUAAAAAUUAUUCACCAAGAAGUAUAGAGAUUGAAGUUUUAGUAUUUGGAGCCAUAAGCAUUGGGAGGGAGAGGAUAUAGCAGAGGAGGGAGGGAGAGAGAGAGAGAGAGAGGGAGAGAGGGAGACACGGAGAGAGAGAGAGAGAGAAACUCAAACCCUAAGCCCAGUUAUAGUUAUUUUUAAUGAAUAAUUGUUUUAGAAACAUAUUUUCUGUUUUUGUUUGGUAGUAACCCUUUGAAUGAGAUUGAGUGAUAUUAAACUACGCCUUACCUGAAUGCUGAUUUGGAAAUGAGGGUGGUAGCAUUAGCAAGGUGAAUUUUAAGCUCUUGUAAACUGAGGCACAGUGUGAUUUCUCUUCAGCGAUUAUUAAUGGUUGUCACUUCAAAAGGAGACUUGGAUCUGAAAUUGGAAAAGCCAACACAUAACUUGAUUCCAACAUAAGGAAAAUUUUUUAGUGUUUAGUUGAAAAUAGAGUCAUUUUGAACCCAAACGGUAUCUGACAUGCUUCAGAUAUCUGGGCUAUUUCAUCCACAACUGCGGUGUUUAGAAUAAUAUGAUGAUCCUGUGAUUAUGAAGAUGAGAGAGCGCGAUUGUGCGAGCUGAGUGCAGUGUCUGCUUGUCUACUGGGGCUGUCCCUCACUGAGCAGUUUUCUAUCCUAAUAUUGUUUUCCUCUGUUAUUUGACCAGGGAAAGAUUUAGAUGACCCAGCUUCUGUCGAAGCCUCAUGGAGAACUAUAGUUUUACUUCUCAGACCCUAAGAGCAGUGACUUUAAACUUGGACACAUCUCUCCUUUCUUUAGUUCAGAAUUUCCCUUCACUGAAAUGAAAGACAUGGUUGAACUCAGAAGAGCUUUCGGUUAUCACAUUCGAUUAUCCUGGAAAAUACUCCUGUCUUUUUAGUUCGCAUUCUGCCUUAAAAAAAUAGCCAUCAGCAUCUUCUGGGAGGAAAUGGUAAAUUUUGUUACGUGGUCUGGCAUUAGAGUCCUAUUUCUCACUGUCUAAUUUGACGGACGGUUCACCUCUGUGUUUCUGGAUAUGCAGGUCUGGUGUGUGACUGAUGGGAAAGAUUUGGGCAAACCCCUUGAUUUGUAUUAACCGUUCGACCUUGACUAAACACCAGACCCCACCCUGUGGCUGAGGUCUGUGGUGUGGCCACAGGCAGAGUCUUUCCGGAGCACCAGGCAGAGCAGCUCCCCCCAGGAGGGGUUAGGGCAACUUUUUGGCCUUUUGCUGUGAGAGGGGAGGGUUAGAGAUCCUUUUGCUGUCUUCUCCGUGGAGAAAAAAAUGUUGAAACUUUCGUCGUUACUACUGUUUUUCUGUCGCUAUCCAGACAAAAUGCCACCCUAGCAUUUCUGUUAAAUCUCUGUAAGUAGAUGCCCCUGCUGAAGGGUGGAGAGAUUUUGGCCCGCUUCCGAGGCAGGGGCUCCAUGAGGGACAUCUUGGAGCAUGAACAACUUCCUAAAGGAAAGCACAGGCCAGUCAUGUACAAUCUCGGGCUCUGCUGCCACGGCGGCUUUCUUUGUCUCUUCUACUUUGAAUUAGCAUAUUCUGUAUGUGAAAAUGCAAGUAGGCAGCGUUUUCUUUUAAUCACGAGAUCUAGAAGUCCCGUUUCCUUUCCUUCAUCUUUGCUCUUUGAGUGGUUGGUGUGGCCGGUGCGCAGAGGGCUCAGAGUGGCAAGCUGGCUGCCUGCGUGGACUCCCUGGACCUGCUACUUGUCCUUUACUUCCACAACUCAGACUUUUAGCUCGACGGAAGAGUGCACAGGCGCAGCGCGAGCUAGCCUGCAGGGUUGGCAAAACCUAUACCGACUGGGUCCCUUCCGGAAAGUUUGUGUGAACUUUAAAUCUCAGUCUCAGGGAGAUUGUUUUGUCUCGAUACAUAACAGAAUAAGGCAGUUAUCAUUUCUUUGGGAAAUGCCUAAAAUACUGCAAAUUGGAAGGGAAGGGAAAGGAAGGGAGAAGGCAUACUCCUCUUUCUCAAAUCGGGCAUCUACACGUCUCCGUUCACAUCAUUGACACUAAUGGGCGAACAGCAUCUUCAUUGAGGAUUAAUUUUCCUGAAAUCAAAUAAUCCCAAAUUGCAUACUACAUAUAUACUGGUUUCUAACUAGUCAAAAUCUUCAGCAUAUGCCCAGCCGCCUGGCUUUCCUCUCUUUCAUGAUAAUCUGCAUGUGUAGAUGAGAAGCUGGGAGAGAAAGAUCUGAUCAUUUUGCAUUCUUUUUUCUGUCUGAUGAACAUUUCUUCUCCAGCAAGUCUUUCCUACUGCUUCCCCAAACCAGCAUAUACUCUUCUACAUUCUUUAGUUGAAACAGCAUCUUUUAAAAAAAUGAUUAACUGAAGUCCACUUGAGGUUUCACUUUAUAAAAAAGUAAUAGAGGAAGAAUGAGAAUCCCACCAUCAGGUCCGGUGAUAGCUCAGUCACACGUGGAAAUACAGACUGUAAAUACAGAAUGGCCAAGGACCCUCUGAGCGAAGGGCAUCUAGGGGCUCCCGAAGCCUUGUGCGGCCCAUAGAUGUGUGCUCAGCACCCCCGCCUCAGUGUGUGCUUGGUGACUCCCUCUCCUUCGUGGGCUCACGUUACUAUUUUCUAAAAGUAUUGUUUCACUGAUACCAGAACAGAAGUGCCCCAAACAGAUAUCUGUACCCUAAGAAUCUCAAGGUGCCCUGUUUUUGUUGAUUUCUCUGGUGCAGAAGGACCUGUUUCAGCCAUCCCCAAACUCCCUGGGGGCCGUGCGGUGGCUGUGGCAGAGGGGGUGCAUCUAGGACUGGCAUUUUAUGGCCCCCGAGGUAGGGCUGGGAGAGAGCUUAUCUUGAGGUCCCGUCUUAUGUGACUGCGAAGGUGUUAAUAGGCAGGGUCCAGGUGGCCCAUGCGAGCUGGCAGCAUUGGAAGGGUACAAUUAAUUGAAGGGCAUUUUACUGGGUGUUAAAUUAUUGCUAAUUCCAAAACUUUCUUUCAGACUAUUUUUUUCUAAGAAUAGAGAUUUUCUUCUAAUUAAACAACAGGCAAAAGAUGAGCACGGUUACUCACCUCUCUGCUCAUUUCAAUGUUGCUGUAUGUCAUCUCCUUUCUUGUUUUACUACAGUUCUCAAGUGAAUAAUAUCAUGUAAUUUCAGUGUGGAACAAUGUAAUUUCCAUGUGCGUCCCCAGCAACCCUGUGUACAUUAAUCUAUCAUUUAUAAUUUAUAACAUGGAAAAGUUUUUUUUUUUUAUGAAGGACAAAAUAAAAGAGAAGAUUAGGAUGUGACUAGGUCAAGUGACAUAUAAAGAAUUUCACAAGGGAUCAGGGAUAUGGAAGGGACUCAGGUCUCUUAAGAACAGGUCCCAUUCUGUAUUUAUCUCCAGGAUUGUGUUGGGGCCGUGUGCCUCUCUCUGCUGCUGGCCACGGGAGACCCAGCACCUCUUCCUCAGUGUCCCUCAGAGACCUAGAAGACAGCGGUUUUUCAGAAAAAGCACCCUUCCUGCCAUUCUCAGAAAAACAACACUGUAAAAAUCCAGCAGGGCCCCUCCACACUGCUGCAAUAGUGCCACAAGGGAGGCUGCCGCAGACACAGUCACUUGAAAAGGACCUCAGGUGCCUUCCCCUCCUGUUUGGUCCCAGGCAUCAACACUGCCCAGCAAAGUGUGUCCAAGAAGCCCCAGAGGGGGCUCUGCCUCUUAGGGGCCUGUGACAAUCGCAGGUGAUUCAGAUGCCAGAGAAAGCAGAGGCCCCCAGAGGAAGGUGGUCGGGGGCCAUCUGCUGUGCCUGGGGUCAAGGACCACUGGAGGGAGCUUGGGUUGGCCUGAGACUGUUCAGGGGAGGGGCACCAUGGGCAUGGUGCCCCUGCAUGAAGGGUGGGCCCUCCCAUGAGAGAGGAGGGGGGAAACAAGAGGAAGGACGCUGCUGGCUGUUUGCAAGUAGCUGUCCCACCACCCUGGCACUUCCCUGGUCCCUGAGGCUGGACGGGCCUUGGAGCCUGUCUUUGCUGAGGCCCAAGUCACCUAUCAGGUCGUGCUGAUGAAUGUCUGAGCAUGAGCCCAGCACAGCUCAGCAUUUGCCAAGGUUAAGGAAAGGAAGUGGUAACUCAGCAUUGAUUUCCUCCCCCUGGAUUUAAUAGCGAUAGAUCGAAACCUGCAGUCAGAUACCACUUUAAAAGCCUCGGCUCAUCUAAAGACAGCUUCCAAGAGAUGAUCAUGCCAGGCCACCGCUGAGGUUUGCAGAGGAAGCAGAACCAGCCCUGUCUUUGCUGAGAGAAGCCAAACGACCAUCUUGUCUGUCUCGUAAAGCAUCCUUCUGCUUGAAUAGCAGAGCUCUUUGAACGGCAAUAAAAUAUUACCUUGAGGCUGGGCGCAGUGGCUCAUGCCUGUCAUCCCAGCAUUUUGGGAGGCCAAGGUGGGCGGAUUACCUGAGGUCAGGAGUUCGAGACCAGCCUGGCCAACAUAGUGAAACCCCAUCUUUACUAAAAAUACAAAAAUUAGCCAGGUGUGGUGGCACAGGGCUGUAAUCCCAGCUACUCAAGAGGCUGAGGCAGGAGAAUCGCUUGAAUCCAGGAGGCAGAGGUUGCAGUGAGCCGAGAUCACGCCACUGCACUCCAGCCUGAGCGACAAAGCGAGAUUUCGUCUCAAAACAAACAAACAAACAACAAGCAAACAAACACCAUUACAUUGGGCAGAUGACUGACUUUGUCCUCCCGGCUGGUUCCUCCAAAGCCAACUGGCCUGGGGGUUCUCUGUACCAGGCUCUUGGACAAUCAGCUUGUGUUGUACUGUUUCCUGAAAGUUGCAAAUAUUUUUCAAUGUUAAUUACAUAAUUUCACUUUUUCUAACCAGAAAGAGGAAAAGAGGAAGUGGGGAGGCAGAAAGUGAAGCUGCUGUGCAUUUCUGCCUCCCUGGGCACAUCCACUGGACUUUCUCCUACUUGGUUCAUCACAAUGUGAAACCAUAAUUAACUAAUUCUGAGAACUUUUAAAUGCUUGUGACUAUACAUGAUCGGUGUGACUCUCUACAACAGAUUUUGCAAUUAAUUCAAGUUGCUAUUUCUGGAAUAAAUCAUAUGUGAUUCUUCCCUUUAGUAAGCUUUUUUGAGGUGGUAUUUUUCUAAUUUGGGAAAUUUUAAUUAGGCAGGAACCAAAGGCUGUUGACUUUGCGAGAGGCAAGCUAGCUCCCCAAGUGACUCUCUUGGGCAGAACCCAUUGUCUUGUGUCUAGGGGAUCCACGGUUCAGAAUAAGACUUGACUGAAGUCCUGACUGAAGUUAAGCAGUGGAGAACACUUUUCUGCCCUCAGCCUUGCAGUUUCCCAUGUGGUCCGAGGCAAGUCAUGGCCUCUCUGGGCCUCAGUUUCCCCAUCUGUAAAAUAAUGGACUAAGUUUCUUAUAGCCCUCUGGCUACUAGAAUUCUAAGAGCCAAUAUAACCCUGCAAUUCCACUGCUAGGUAUAUACCCCAAAACAUUGAAAACAGGUGUUCAAACAAAAAUUUGUACAUAAAUGUUCAUAGCAACAUUACUCACAAUAGUCAAAGGAUGGAAACGGCAAAGUGUCCUUGAACUGAGGAUCAGUAAAACGUAGCCCAUCCAUACAGUGGAAUCUAAUUCAGCCAUAAAAACAAACGAGGUUGGGCAUGGUGGCUCAUGCCUGUAAUCUCAGCACUUUGGGAGGCUGAGGUGGGUGGAUCACCUGAGGUCAGGAGUUCGAGACCAGCCCAGCCAACAUGGUGAAACCUCAUCUCUACUAAAAAUACAAAAAUUAGCUGGGCAUGGUGGCAGGUGCCUGUAAACCUAGCUACUUGGGAGGCUGAGUCAGGAGAAUCGCUUGAACCCGGGAGGCAGAGGUCGAAGUGAGCCGAGAUUGCGCCACUGUACUCCAGCCUGGGCAACAAGAGCGACACUCUGUCUCAAAAAAAAAAAAAAAAAAAAAGUGUAAUAUGUGCUACAGCAUCGAUGAAUCUUGGAAACAUCUUGCUAAGCUCAAGAAGCCAGAUGACUACAUAUUGUGAUAUUUGGGAUUUCAUUUAUACGAAAUGUCCCAAAUAAGCAAAUCCAUACAGGCAGAAAGGAGACUGGAGGCUUCUCGGGCUUCAUGGGAGGGGGUAUCGGGGGUGAGUGCUGAACAGGUGUGGAGUUUCUGUUUGGAAUAAUACAAAACGCUCUGGAACUAGAUAGUGAUGAUGCCUUCACGACAAGGUGUACGCACUAAAUUCCACUAUGCUUUAAAAGCUCAAAUGAUAAAUUUUAUAUUACAUGAAUCUUACUACCAUCACCAAAAAAAAGAAAAAAUUCCUACUUCCCAGACCAUGUACAUCUCUAGCAACUGAGGUGUUCAGUUGGGGGUGGAGGGGCUAAGGGGCUAAGUGUUCACCCAUCCCUCACUUUUCAGAGAUGUUAUCCAGUUUAUCCUCCUGCUUCAGCGCUUAUCCAACUAUUCUAAUUUUGCCUAUGAGCAUUUUCCUUUCGACAUCUAGUUCCUAAUGUGUUUAUUCACACACACACACACGCACGCACAUGUGCGUCAAACAAUUCUGAGGCACACUGUUUCUUUUGCCUGCCUUCUGCUUUUUGUGACAUGUCGAUUACACCUCUUGAAGCCUCUCCACAGUAGACUGAGUUCUCACCCUCUGGGGGCUGGAGGCGGAGAGGGAUUGACUCUAAGCCUCCAUGCCGCUUGCAGUCAGCCCCAAGAUGAGAGCCAGGAGCAUUUGCCAUAUCUGUAGUGGGGGAGUCUGGUACCUGACAGGAAGACACACAAGGGUGGCCCAUGAGUACACACCCCUCGCCUCCAUCAGCAGGCUGUCCACAGCCCAGGGCUCGUCCACCCGCUCGGUGGACCACUUCAGGCUGGUGCUGGGCUCAGAGGCCCUCAAGGGGUUGGUGCCACCUCCAGAGUCAUGGGAUUCCUGCUCUUCAUGUGUGCAGGUGCUGCUCCCAGAAGACAGGGAGACACCUGGAGACAUCGGGAGGGUGGCACUAAAUCGUUCAGCACCAGUUGUCUGUUUUCCUUCGGUUGUUCAUGUUUCUUUUCUUCCUUCCUGAUCUGCGUACCCUUUACAUGCUCCUCAGCCGUCUGUGUUUGAGACACUGUCAAAACCGCCCACCCAAGAGGGAUGGGCCAGAGAGCUGCUCUGAGUGCUCCCUCAGCCAUGACCCCAUCCUGUUUCUUUUUAAGACAUCAUCACCUUUGUGGCAUUAUUCAGUCAGAUUUUGAGACACUUAUAGAAGCCCCAGAGAUGGUGUUGGGCUCCAGGAUUGUUUGAAUUUUCAGAAUCCAAACUGAGGGCUCAGGAGAACUUGGAGCAAAUCCCAAAGGAUCUCACCAAGGGUUGAAUUGCCAAAAGCAGACAAAAACUGUUCCGGGCCAGGCGCGGUGGCUCACGCCUAUAAUCCCAGCACUUUGGGAGGCCGAGAUGGGUGGAUCACCUGAGGUCAGGAGUUCGAAACCAGCCUGGCCAACAUGGCGAAACCCUGGUUCUGCUAAAAAUACAAAAAUUAGCCGGGCGAGGUGGUGGGCACCUGUAAUCCCAGCUACUUGGGAGGCUGAGGCAGGAGAAUCGCUUGAACCUGGGAGGUGGAGGUUGCAGUGAGCCAAGAUCGCGCCACUGCACUCCAGCCUGGGCGACAGAGCAAGACUCCACCUCAAAACAAACAAACAAACAAAGAACUGUUCUGUGUGAUGCUGCUGUUCCCCCAUUCCCAGUCCCAUUGCUGAGCAAAGAGGAAGGCACCAGGGAGGAGGUGCAAAGGGAAAGAGAUUCCCAAAAGCCGCCGAGAGAGAGGACUCCAGAUGGAGAUGGGAGGACUGGCCGCCGGGGCCCUGGCCGCUUCCUUAGUUAAGUUGUGCAGUUGGCUUGACAGGAACAUGGGUCACCCUCAAGCCAGACACAUCUUGGUCUCAUGGCCCCCAUCAGUCACCGCCGCAGGGGUUCUUCCCGCAGCUGCCGAGGCGCAGAGCCCAGCUGCUUUGAUUCAUUAGCACAUUAUUCACAUUCGUAGCACAGCACACUUGCUUUUCCUGGGGGACGCUCUGCUCUCCUUUCUGGCCACUUCUGCUUCAUGGUAACUAAAUUGGAGGCUCUACCAUGUCCAGCUUGUGCUCUGUAUGCCUGGGGGGACACUGGACCCAGCGCCCAGUGAGUGUAGGGUAACUAGAAAGGGCACCUCCAUCACUGAUUUUCCAACUGACUUUCAGAGACACCAUCUGGAUGCUCUGAGCCAAGUCGGCACCCUUAGGCUCCCGGGGGUGUAGUGUUCCUCCGUGUCUCCUCCACUCCUCCUGCCUAUCUCUAUCUCACUAUCCCUGAAGGUGAGACCGUGGUGUCAGAGAAUGCACUGAGUCAGCAUCCCUUUUAGCACACCUGCCACCACCUGACUAACAGCAAAGCCAGGCUUCCUGGUGAAUCCCAUUACAGCCGUCCUGCUUAAUCUAUGGUUUCGCUUUUCGAAGUUUCAAUUACACACAGCCAACCACAGUCCAAAGUUAUUAAAUGGAAAAUUCCAGAAGAAAAAUUAAUAAGUUUUAAAUUGCACACCAUUCUGAGUAUCUUGAUGAAAUCUUGAGCUGUCCUGCUCCAUCCCACCGGUCUCUGGGUCAUCAGAUAGAAAACACAUACAGUAUAUAUAGGGUUCGGUACCAUGCUUGGGAUCGAGCAUCCACUGGAGGUCUUGGUGUGUAUCCCUGGGGAUAAGGGGGCCUACUAUAAUUUCAUCCCACUGAGGUGCCAUGGCCCAGGCCAACAGGGACAGUCACUCACAGCUGUGGACGGAGCACCACAGCCACACGUGGAUGGAACACAGUGGGACAUCAGGCCAGUGUCUUACAGGUGGCAGCGGUGACCAUCCAGUGAGCUGAAGUGGUGUUUACUAAUGCAGGCCCUUCCUACCAUCUGCUUCCAAAAGCUGACCAUUCCAAGUCCAGCAAUCAUAAAUAAAAUAGCAAAAUAAUAACUCACUAAAUUAAAAUUCUAAACUUUUAUAUACCAAAAAACUAUGACAAUCAAAAAUUUUUAAAAAACCAGGAAGAAAAUAUUUACAAUCUAUUUUGCAAUGGGUUAAUGUUCUUACUAGAAAAAGGGCCUUUAAAAAAUUUAAAAAGACAAUUACCCAGUAGGAAAUAUGGGCAAAAAAUAUGAAUUCAUAAAAGGAGAAAUUCAGUUGGCCCAUAAACACAUGAAGUGUUGAACUUCAACAAUAAUCUAAGGAAUUAGAAAUAAAACAGAAGGAUACUAUUUUUAUUAAAUUGGAAAAAAUACAUAAUUAUAAACCCCAGUAUUGAGGAAGGUGGGGGAACCAGGCCAUCCUAUUUUCCAGAGGGAAGAAAAACUGCACAACCUUUCUAAAGGAAUUUUGAUGGUAGGUAAGAAAAGAUCUAGGACUGGAAAUACCCUUUGCACGAACAAUUCCACUUCUAGGAAUUAUCUUAAGUGAAUAAUGGCAGAGCUGCCGAGCAACAAAGAAAUUCAUAUCAGCUUCAUUAAUAUUGGUGACAAAAUUAAAAUGUCCUGGGAAAUAAAUAGGUGGGAUAAACUCUGCUUGGUCCAUAUGCUGGAACACUAUGCAGUCAGCAAAUGUGUGUUGUAAGUGGAUGUUUAAUAAAGUGACGGCCAUGACUGUAGGAUGGAGCAGUUCAUACGAUCUCAGGUUGGAAAAUCAAAGUGUGUGUGUGCAUGCAUGGGUGUGUUUGUCUGGAGAGAGAGUGGCAAGAACGAAUGUCUCUGGACCAAAAGUUGAUGAAAGAGCUUCCUUUCCUUCAUAUGUUUUUUUUUUUUUAAUUUCUAGAUUUUCUACAGAUGCCCUGUAUUACUUCUGCAAUUUGAGAACCCAAAUCCAGAGGUGCCCAGUGCUUUGUAAAGAUAGUGUGGCAGGCACAUGCUGACUGACCCUCCCUCCAGAGAAGGGCAACUACUCCCAGUCCCAUCAUAAGGUGGUGCAGUGAAAAUACAGCUGCCACCCACAUAGGAAUGCCCUCACCGCAACCCCCACUCGGUGUUAUGACUUAGGUAUUCGCUGAAGUAAUAUGAAAGAGUGGCCUUCAAAAUAUAUUUUUGUAUCUUCUGCAAUCUACAUUAAAGACUCCCGUCCAUCAUUUUCAGAAGAGGUCUUUCAUGUUAGGAUAAUUCAGAAGGAUGCACCCGGAAUGUACCAGUGCGGCUCCCCGAUGGAGCUGGCGACGUCCUUUGGUAGUGAGGGCUGUGCGGUUUCAGCUCUCCUGGCUGGCCUUUACCUGCUGGGCAGUUCCCAAAUGGUGCUUCAUGAUGGGACCGGCGCUCAUCCCCACACUGUUAGUGUUAGCAUCCUCAUUUCUUCUGCCUUUUUUUCACUCCUCUCUACGUAGUUGGGGAUAUCUGUUGUUAACCAUAAACCACUUCAGCUUUGGGGAAGGAAGUGGGAAAAAACCACAAUGAACUCCUUAGACGUUCCCCGAACCCAAAUUGAGAAGAGGUGCUUUGACCCCGACUCACUCAGUGGAGCUAGAAAAAGCCCUUUCUUAGCUACUAGAGACGUUUUAUUCACUUUUUACCAGGAUCAAAAAUGAAAACCACACGUCCCCCUGGCCUUGUAUGAUGAAUGACAAAUGCGUGGGACUGAGGAGAGGUCGGCCAUAGAGUAGGUCUACCUCCUGUCCCCGGGGCAUCCCUGCAUGCCAGCUUCUCGAGAACCUACAGGGAGGAAGCACCAGGCUGCACCUCCCUGGAGGCUGGAGACCAACCAGGCACAGAAUCUUUCGUUUCCUUUCAGAUUCUUCGCCAUAAUCUAAUUUUUGUUAAGCCUGUCUUCCUUUACACCCUGGGCUACAUUUGACGCAUAUUUCUGGCAAAUGCUGGGACCACCCUUGCCAGAUGACCAAAUCCUUUUCGGAGAGAUGACUGAAAUAUUUGCCUGGCACGGAGGAGCUGUCAGCAAGCAGGCAUCCGAAGAUUGAGAUCACAGAGGGGUGGCCGAGGCCGGGGCACAGGCUGGAUGCAAGGCAGAUGCUGCAUGGAACCCUUAGGUAUUGAGUGCCCCGAAACUAGAAACUGAAAAGGCAGUCACAUCCUCAUCAGAAAGAAAUCGAUGGUGAGUUAGGAGGCCAGGAGGGAAGCAGCCGUUCCCGGAGCUGAGGGGCAUCCCUCGAAGGCGGGAGGGAGAGAACUGGGAGGCAAAGGCUGGGGAUGGCCGGGUGGCCCUGGGACCAACAGAAGGAGCAGGUGGGCUGAAGAAGGUGUUGGGGCAGAGACUGUGGUCAGCAGAAGGCAUGAGAGGGGCCACCCUCCUGCAUGGAGUGAGGCUCAGGAAACGUGGAAUGAAAGAAAGAUAGAAAAAAUGAAUGCAGUAUAAUGGAAGUUCCAAGGAACACUGCGGUUAGGAAGGUGGCUGGCAUUCCGGAACUACCUCCCUGACCAGUGCAGUGACCCACAAAGACGGCAUCCCUCACACAUCAGCCCCGUGCCCUGGGUUCCCUCUGAGUGCACCUGCCCAGGAGGUCGGGCUUUCUGCACGUGGCUCCCAGGGGCUCUGCUGAGAAGCCCUUAGACAUCGUCUAGUACAGCCCCUGGGCCCUCUCUGGGGUGCAGACGAGCUGGUGAGCUCCAGGCCUCAAACCUGACUGCCCAACUGCUGGGAGCCCCCCACCCCCCAAACUGCUCUGGUAAGCGUUGGGCUUCUGUCCAGAUGACACAGCUAAGCAGGGUUUGGAAGAACAAAAAACAAAACCCAAGCCUGCCCACUUCAGACAGGGGCAGGAUGGAGAGUCUCAGUGGGGGACGGGGGACUGGCUAAGUCAGGCAGACUCAGGGGGCAUGGCCAGACGGAUCCCAGUCUCCUCCCAUUCCACGUCCCUACAUCAUUCUAUGGGACCACAGGAAACCAAACUGGCCCUUCUUGAGACAGAGAUGGAAGAUGCUGUUUCCCACGGUGGACACCAAGCAGCCCUGGCUGUGACUGUGUCUGUGGGACAAGCUGUGUUCCGAGGUUGGUGACUCUCCGUGAUCACCAGCCACCACCAUGAGCAGUAUCCUCUGUUGCCCACACACUUGGGCAUCGCUGGCCGGGCUCAGUGUGGUGCCAGCGUGGGCUGAUCCACAGGCAUGGUAGGGCCGGGACACAAGCCCACUGCUCAGCAAGGCUGGAGGGAGCGCUGCGUGCCAGCCGGUGCAGGGGCUUGUGUCCAUUUGAUUCUCAAGAUGGUCCAGUGAUGGAGGUGGCAUCCACCUGCAUUCUCUCGCAUUUUCUAGAGAAAGGAAGUUCAUCUCAGAGGGGUCAGUUGGCAUCGGUGUCUGGGUUGUGAGAGACAGUGUCAUCCGCACCAGCAUCAGGCAGCAGAUGGCAUGGGUAGGCGUGCGGGCAGCAAAUGCUUGGCAGUUUAAGUGGUUUCCUUGCAAAGGACAAGGCUGGGGAGCACGCCACUGAGAGAAAGGCAUCGACUCCUGCAAAGCCUGCUUCUGAAGCGAGCAACGUGGACUUGUUUGCACCGAAUGGGAAAUAGGUCCAAGUGCGGUGAGGAGUACUUUAAAGAAGGGAUUUCACAAGCGGUGCUGGCACAGGCCACUGCAGCUUGUUUACUGCCACGGAGAUGGAAUUUCAUACUUUCAAAAGGAACAAUCUGGGAUCUCUCAAUAAAACUUCCAGGGCACAGGCAAGGAAAACAAAAAUAGACAAAUGGGACUACGUCGAACUUAAAAACUCCUGUGUAUCAAAAAACACAACAAUGAAAAGACAACCUGUGGAAUGGGAGAAAAUAUCAGCAAAUUAUCCAUCUGAUAGGAGAGUACUAUCCAGAAGAGAUGCAGGACUCCUACGAUUCAACAAUAAAAAUUAGAUAGCCUGCAUAAAAGUAGGCAAAGGCCUUAAAUAGACAUUUCUACAAAGAUGAUAUACAAAUAGCCAACAAGCACAUGAAAAGAUGCUUGACACAACCACCCAUCAGAGAAAUGCAGAUCCAACCAGAAAGAGGCACCAGCUCACACCUAUGAGGUUGCCUACUCAUGCCUGCAGUCCCAGCAUUCUGGGAGGCUGAGGCGGGAGGAUCACUUGAGGCCAAGAGUUUGAGGCCAGCUGGGCAACAUAGUGAGAUGCCAUCUCUACAGAAAUGAAAAUAAAAAAGUAGCAGGGUGUGGUGGCCUGUGCCUAUAAUCCUAGCUACUUGAGAGGCUGAGGCAGGAGGAUCACUAGAGUCCAGGAGUUUGAGGUUACAGUGAGCUAUGCACACCACUGCACUCCAGCCUGGGCAACAGAAUGAGACCCUGUCUCAAAACAAACAAACACAGAAAAUAAAUGUUGGUGAAGAUGUGGAGAAAUUGGAACCAUUGGGCACUGCUGGUGGGAAUGUAAACCAGUGCUAUAGAAUACGGUAUGGAGGGUCCUCAAAAAAUAAAAUGCAGAACAAACAAAACGUGGUGUGUACACAGACACACCAUACACCCCCCACACACACACCACACACAAACCACACACCCCACACACAUCACACACCCACACCACAUACCCCACACACACAUCCCACACACACCACACACGCACCACACACGCACCCCACACCUCACACACACACCACAUACCACACACAAACGACAUACCCCACACACACCACACACCCCACACACACCCCACACACCCCACACACCCCACACACCCCACACACACACCACACACCCCACACACACACCACACACACACCCUACACCCCACACACCACACACAAACCACACACCCCACACACACACAUCCCACACACCACACACCCCACACACACCACACCCCACGCACACCACACCCCCACACACCACACACACACCUUACCCCACACACACACCACACACACACCACAUCCCCCCCAACACACACCAGACACCCCACACACCACACACACACCACACCCCACAGAUACCCCCCACACCCCACACACACCACAUGCCCCCACACACCACACACACACCACACCCCACACACACACCACACCCCACACACAAACACACCCCACACACACACCAUCACCUCCCCCAACACACACACACACAGGAUGGAACGUCAUUCUGCCUUUAAAAAGGAAGGUUGUCUCGAAAGGGACCAUAGCAUGGAUGAACCCUGAGGACACAGUGCUGAGUGAAAUAAGCUGGUCACAGACAAACACUAUAUGACUCCACUUACACGAGGAACCUCGUGCAGUCAGAUUCAUAGAGACAGAAAGCAGAACGGUGGGUGCCAGGGGCCGAGGGGAGGAGUGGGGAGUCCGUGUUUAGUGGGGACAGAGUCCCAGUCUGAGAGGAGAAAAAGAGUUCUGGAGAUGAUGGUGGUUAAGGUCGCACAGCAGCGUGAAUGUCCUUAAUGCCACAGAACUCUGCUCUUCAAAACAUUAAGACGGUAAAUUUUAUGUCAUGUGUAUUUUACCACGAUUAAAUUAUUUCCAGGGAUGUUUCUGCCAUAUUAACUGGAAGGCAGGUGACUCCUGGGCCGGGGGCGUCCCACAGUGGGUCCUGCCUGCCCCCAUGCUCUCUAUCCCACUAGCAGUCCCUGGCCAAGAGUCCUGGGCCACUUUGUGCCCUCAGACUUGUUGCUCAUUUAACCCUUAGCCCCAGCGGGGUGGUGUUCCAGGGUGAGAUUUGGGCUGGACACUGGGCUGGGCUGUAGGCCAGGAUGAGGGCCAGGCCAGUGUAGGGAGAUUGCGAGGCCAGAGGAGUGGUCUCAGGUUCACCACCCUGUGCACGUCAGGGCUUCCAGCACGUUCUACUUGGAAGUGAUGCUUACAGAUUCUCAAGAAGGUUGAAUCCAAACCCUUGUAAAAAUUGGGUCCUGUUGAGUGUCUUUUUGUUUGUCUGCAUUUAGAUCUAGUAACAUUUUGGCCAACGCUGUGCAGGGAAGGGCGAUGCUCUUUCUUUUCCAAGAAUUAGGGUUAAUUGUCCAUGAAUUUUAUACAAAUAUGAGUCUUCAAGGUCAUUCAGACGAAAGCUUUCAGACAUUUUUGAAGCUGUGAGUUAUUAAAUAUGUAGCAUCUACCCAUGGGGGGAAGUAGGGCACAGGCCUAGCCAGGGAGCAGGCACAGGUGCCACUAAACCUCUGGCACCAGGACGAUUUACUGGACAGGUGACCAGUGUUGUUCCCAUUCUGCAGAUGGAAAGUCUGGAGGUCACGGGCGUACAGCCCAGAGGCACAUGCUCCGCAGAUGGUUUCGCGUAGCUGGUAUCAUGUGGGGCAGCUGCAGGGUCCUUCGUGUUGCCCUCACAUAUACUGAGCCCUGGCUGUUUGCAGUCCUUCUGCUGGGUGCUGGAGACAUAAGAAUGACUAGAAUCUGUCUCUCCUGUGGAGGACUCACCAUUCACGUCCAGCCAAGGAGACAAUGGAGGACUCACCAUCCACAUCCAGCCAAGGAGACAAAUCUACUGACAGCCAUUCAUAACACUGCAUGUAGCUGUUGUACAACAAUAGUUAGCAAACAAAGAAGACAAGGAUGCCUUCUCCUGGACACAGUAGGGAGGCCAGACCAAGGGGUGGCACUUUGGUGGAUCUGUCGUUCAAUCAACAAAUACUUGUUGAGCGCCUCCCACGUGCUGGGCUCCACAUUAGAGACCGGGAUAUGGUGGGGAAGAAGUCAAGACAGUUCCUGUCACCAUGAAGCUUGCCAUGGGAGGGGAGGGCAGGCAGGAAACACACAAGACAGCAGAUGUGGGCUUGCUGACCACGGGUGCUGAGAAGGAAGCAAGAGGAUGAGGAAGGACAUCUGAAGAAAUGACGCUUGAGCAGAGAAUGAAUGGAGUGAGGGGUCCUGGCCAGGUUGAGGAUUAGGUACGCAGAGGCUGGGGUAUGCUCUGGGGGUUGGGAGUGGGCAGGGGGAUGACUUCAGAGUAGAAGGGAGCUGCAGAGAUGUGCACGCAUGAGCACGCACAAGAGCUACAGGGUCCUGCUGAGUGAGAUGUUCUCAGGAAGGUGCACACUGUGCACAAGGAAUACACAACGGGCAGGUUGGUCCGAGUGCUCCUCCCGGUGCCCAAUGCACGGUGCCAGGGGAGGACAGAAGCAAAGCAGGGCCGAGAGUCACACUGGUCUUGGAAAGGCUUGAUGAGUGGGCCUGAGGGUACGUUCCGGAACAUCUCGAUACCAGAAACAAAAUAAUAAAAACCUUUGUUCAUGUCUCACUCAGGAGGAGCUGGAGGCCUGUGAUUCUUCUCCUUUACCGUCCCUGCCUCCAAAUCCAGACUGGGAAUGGGAACGUCAUUGUGCAUCAGCUCAAAACUGGGUUGGUGGCCUGCUCUAAACUUGCUGAUCCAUGUUCCAUCAAGGAAAAAACUCACUUGUGGCUCUGUACCCCUCUGAGACGGGGUUCAUGCGUUAGAGGAGUUAGCAGCCUGUUUGGAAGACAAGGGGCCUGAGCUGCAUCCCAGGCAGGAUGUUGAUGGAGGGGAUGGCGAUUGUCUUUGUCAAUGAUGAGGGAUGGGAUCCCAUAUGCAAAGAGGACCACACUCACCUGAGAAUUUGGGGACCAGGACUGGUGACUCAGGGAAGUGCAGCUACCACUGUUCAAGGGAAACACAACUUGGGAACAUGGCUGCUCAGAUGCUUUUAUUCAAUCCUCAUGCUUUACGGAAUCCAGGACAUGAAAAUCUAAUUUGUUUAAAAACUCAACUUUCCUGCUGUGGGUAUCUUAAUUUCACCUGCAGUAUUUCUCUUUAGUUCCAUGUUAUUGUGUCUUAAAAUGUCCAAUUUAGUUACUUAAGGCUCUUCUUUUGCAAAAGAAUAGAAAGAAAAAUGUUAAGGAUGCAGGCCCAGGAGACAUUGUGUUAUCCCAGGACUUCUACAAUAAAAAAGCGAGCUUUCGAAAUGAUGUGUAUCCUGGUUGGAUGACUCUCUCCCUGGUGAAUGCCAGUCUGCACCAGCCCCACCUCCUGGCCACUAAAAAUCUUUAAUAUUACAUAGUACAUAUAUUCGUUCACCAGACAUAGCAUGUUGAAAAGGCCUGGAGGAGUUUCUCUAAAGAUGAAAAUCUUGGUACUUUGCUUGUUUCUUGGAGAAUCUACAGAGGCUCUCUGCCUUGGAUGCUUACCCAGGAUUCAGGUAGAAGAGUUGCCUGCCCUGGGCUCCCCACAGCACUUGGGUGCGCACCUGUGAUUCAGGUAGGAGAGGGGUCUGGGCUCCCCACAGCACCUGGAUGCGCAUCUGUGAUUCAGGUAGGAGAGGUGCCUGGGCUCCCCAGGUUACCUGAUUUGUCCUUCAGGUGCAAGUGAGUUCUCAGGGGUGAGGUUCUAUGCUUUGGUGCCUCCCUCUCUGCCACACUGGCCCCUUCCUUGUGGAACAUGUGUCCUCUUUCAGGCUCUGUUGAUGACUUCAUAUAGAGUGCACAGAGGAACAAAAACAAUGAAGUUGACCAAGGAGGGAGCUGGCUGGAGGGUUUGGAAGGACAGCAGAGCAGGCACAGCUGGAAGGAUUUAUUUUUCUCUUGCUACCAGAAGACUCAGGACACAAUGCAGAAAAUACGAAAUACAUUCAUUCAUUAGCUUUCCCAUCUCUUAAAUGGUUUGACCCAACUGGGCAAGCCCUGGCUGAAGAGAUUGGACAUCUGGAGUCCAUCACUGUCUGAGGCCAUGGUGGACCCAGCUCUUUUCUUUUCUCUGGGGUGAGAUAUGGUGGACACUCAGCCCUUUAAGGAGCCCUGACCACAGAUGAGACAGAAGGUGCAGCUGUGGGUCUUCUCCAAGAAGAAGACGGCCUCUUCCGAGACUCCUCCAACAGCGCCACCCGCUGGGUCAAACUUGUCACUGAGCUUCCAGCAGCUUCCUCUCUGGCAGAAAAUGGAUUCAGCCAAAAGAUCAAAGACGAGGAAAUUUAGAAGUCCACAUGGUGCUGGCCAAGCAUCCCAGUAAAGGGUAUAUCCUCUGUGGCUUUGUUUUUCACGUUACUGGCAUUGGUUUGCUUUGUUGGGAAGCUAUGCAGAGUUGCACAUCACCUUGUAACAGAGGUUGGCUUCCAGUGGGCUGGACGUUUACGAACAAAUGGGAGCCAAGAAAGUGCUGUGAACUUCAGCUCCCUGACCGGGGUCACGGGAAUGCCAUAAAUCAGGCCAGACAAAUUCCCAUGAUGUCAGUCACUCAGCUGAGUUUCUGGGGGUCAUGAGUCUCUUUGCAUUUCUCCCCUGUCCCCAAGUUCCAAAAAAACAAAUAAAUAGAUGGAAAGGUUACCUCACAGAUCCUUGGCAAAGACCCCUGGAAUAGCACAGCUCUGUCCCGAGUGAAAGUUUACUUCAGAAGAUUCUGAUGCAAUAGAGAAAAAAUAAAUCGGGCGAGGGAGCCUGUGGCUUGUGGGGUUCUGCUAUGCAGCAGGGCUGGAGCAGGUGCCAGGGUGCAGGGAGGGUGAGGGACCCCGAGGCCCUGGCCAGGGUUCACAUCGUCAUCCCACUAGCUGUGGACCUGGGGGACCCUGGCAGAAAGGAAAUCUGUCUCAGUGAGCUGUGCUUGUCAGAAAUCCUCCCAGUGCACCAGUCACUGCCCCGUUGGGUGGGUGUGGGUGGAGGGCAGAUGGCCACACGGCCACUCGGGAAGUUCAGGAAUGGCUGAACCUCACUAGAGUGAAAUCAAGUCAGGCACCCAGGUGGCCUCUGCAGCAGGCACUAGGGGACUCUCAGCAGCUCAGAACUGUCCUUACUCCUAAGGAGUUUGAAAUUAGGAAGAAUAAAACUUUGGGGGGAUAAAUGACUACAAAGUGUCUCCUGAACUGGCCCCACAAGAGACUGCAGGCUCCAAGUGCUCCCUGUCUGGGUAAACGCCUUCUGCUUUCUAGGACUGUCCACUCAGUUAUUAAGCCCACUGCUGUGUCAGGCCAAGGGUGCAGUGAUGGCAGAGACAAAGUCCCGCCUUCAGGGACAGUCCCCAACACAGCAGCAGCUAGAUUAGAAAAAAUAAAGAUGAGAAAGCCUCUCAGAGCAUCUGUCAUGGUAUCUACCAAAACCUGUCAGGGAUAGGAGAAACUCCCUGUCAGUAGAAGCUUAGAUUAAAUUCUAGGUAAAAUAUAAGAAAAGUACACUCAGCAAUAUGCCAAAAGAAUAGGGCGCUGUGAAGAAGGUGGAUUUAUUAGUGGAAUAUCAGGGCAUUCAGAUGCCUUUGCCAGGUUUCUGACACACUUUGGCAAUAUGUGUCAAAAGCAUUCAGAUUGCUCAGAUUCUUGGAUUCAUUUAUGCAAUGAGGCACAUCUAUAGUCAAAAAAGAGAAUAAAGGGAAUCGACUCAAGAGAUACUAAAAUGCAUCUGAGAAAAAUUUAACAUAUUUCUGUUAUUAAAACCUCCCUGUCUGAUGUUUAAAAUCUCAAGAAGCUAUCAUAAAGAGAUUCUUCCUUACCUUCAGUGGAUCACCUGAGGUCAAGAGUUCGAGACUAGCCUGGCCAACAUGCUGAGACUCCGUCUCUACUAAAAAUACAAAAAAUUAGCUGGGCGUGGUGGCGGGCGCCUGUAGUCCCAGCUACUCAGGAGGCUGACGCAGGAGAAUUGCUUGAGCCCAGGAGGUGGAGGUUGCAGUGAGCUGAGAUCGUGCCACUGCACUCCAGCCUGGGAGACAGAGCAAGAUUGCAUCUCAAAACAGCAACAACAAAAUCCUAUGUAGCACUCAAGUCUUUUGUAUAAAAGUCAGCAGGUCUCUCGCCAGUAUACUGUUUUGUAACAUUGUCUCAAACUUUAAAAAAUGAUUCUAUAUGGAUCACGAAAAAGAAAUAGACAUAGAGCUAUUGGCAAGCAGAAGAUAAAAAUAUUAUUUGUAGAUGAUACAGUUGUCUACUAAGAACCUUGCUGUCUACCCCAUAUCAAAAAAAGAAA